rnacentral:misc_RNA from 1 species
UUCCAUUGUUUUCAUAUUACCUGUACGGUUGCUAGGAUUCAGAUGAAAUUUAGUGGGAAUUCUCCAGUUGCUUACCUGAUACUAGCUUACCGAGAGAAACAGCGUGUCAAACACCAGAAAACAUGCUUUUCCGCACGUGUUUGUGCAUUUUUCAUCUUACGUAUUUUAAUGAGGAAAUGGCUUGUGUUUUUGUGAUGCUCGGCUAGAUCACCCAGCAUGACUAUAUUUGAGAAUUUCCCUUGUAAAGUUUGAGCCUUUUAUCUGACUUUCUUGAAAGCAUUCCACAUUUAUGUUAAAGUUGUUUUGAACAUGACCCACAAGUAGGGACCUUGUUUUAAACAUAGAUGGGAAAUCCAUUAUCUCAUUUGUGGGAUUAGGCAAAUGUUCAAUAUCACUAAUUGAUUCUAGUUUUUGCAUCAGCACAUGAAUGUUUAACAUAUCCUAGUUUCUUAACAAUGCAUGUCAUUUCCAUACUGUUAUUGGGAUAAUUUGAUGCACUAUCCAGUCAUCAGAGACUUGACCAGAAACUGAGUCACUAUGCUCAAGUGAACUUUUGUUUUCAUACCGUUUUACUUUGUCAGAUUCGUAAUGAUUUUGAAUAACAUUCUAAUCCUAUUAAUGGUGUCAGGCAAAGAUCCCUGAUAUUG